AGGAGACCAAGCAAAAUAAGCACAAUCAACAGAAGAAGUGCCAAUAUUGAAGUUGCAAUCCUCUUUCUCUGAGACUUGAGUGCUUGCCUGUUGUUAUUGUUUUCUGCUUCUUUCUUUUUCUUCUUCUGUUUGUUCUU
rnacentral:ribozyme from 14 species